GGGCAAUGGGCGAAAGCCUGACCCAGCAACGCCGCGUGAGGGAUGAAGGCCCUCGGGUCGUAAACCUCUGUCGGGAGGGAAGAACGGUUGCCAUUCGAACAGGUUGGCAGCCUGACGGUACCUCCAAAGGAAGCACCGGCUAACUCCGUGCCAGCAGCCGCGGUAAUACGGAGGGUGCGAGCGUUGUUCGGAAUCAUUGGGCGUAAAGCGCGUGUAGGCGGCUUGGUAAGUCGGGUGUGAAAUCCCGGGGCCCAACCCCGGAACUGCAUUCGAAACUGCCUCGCUAGAGUCCCGGAGAGGAAGGCGGAAUUCCCGGUGUAGAGGUGAAAUUCGUAGAUAUCGGGAGGAACACCAGCGGCGAAGGCGGCCUUCUGGACGGUGACUGACGCUGAGACGCGAAAGCGUGGGGAGCAAACAGGAUUAGAUACCCUGGUAGUCCACGCCGUAAACGUUGGGUGCUAGGUGUCGCGGGUAUUGACCCCUGCGGUGCCGUCGUUAACGCAUUUAGCACCCCGCCUGGGGAGUACGGUCGCAAGGCUA
rnacentral:rRNA from 1 species